rnacentral:rRNA from 1 species
CUAUUGCUUGAAGAUGAGUCCGCGUCCCAUUAGCUAGUUGGUGAGGUAAAAGCUCACCAAGGCAACGAUGGGUAGCCGUUCUAAGAGGAUGAUCGGCCACACUGGAACUGGAACACGGUCCAGACUCCUACGGGAGGCAGCAGUGGGGAAUAUUGCGCAAUGGGCGAAAGCCUGACGCAGCGACGCCGCGUGAGGGAUGAAGGUCUUCGGAUCGUAAACCUCUGUCAGAGGGGAAGAAGUGUGUCUAUUCAAAUAGGGUAGGCAUUUGACGGUACCCUCAAAGGAAGCACCGGCUAACUCCGUGCCAGCAGCCGCGGUAAUACGGAGGGUGCGAGCGUUAAUCGGAAUUACUGGGCGUAAAGCGCACGUAGGUGGUUUUGUAAGUCAGGGGUGAAAUCCCAUCGCUCAACGGUGGAACAGCCUUUGAUACUGCAUCACUAGAGUAUCGGAGAGGGUGGCGGAAUUCCAGGUGUAGGAGUGAAAUCCGUAGAUUUCUGGAGGAACACCGGUGGCGAAGGCGGCCACCUGGACGAAAGCUGACAUUGAGGUGCGAAAGCAUGGGGAGCAAACAGGAUUAGAUACCUUGGUAGUCCAUGCUGUAAACGAUGUCUACUUGGAGGUUGUGGCCUUGAGCCGUGGCUUUCGGAGCUAACGCGUUAAGUAGACCGCCUGGGGAGUACGGUCGCAAGAUUAAAACUCAAAUGAAUUGAUGGGGGCCCGCACAAGCGGUGGAGCAUGUGGUUUAAUUCGACGCAACGCGAAGAACCUUACCUACUCUUGGCAUCUACAGAAUCCUGCGGAGACGCGGGAGUGCCUUCGGGAACUGUAAGACAGGUGCUGCAUGGCUGUCGUCAGCUCGUGUUGUGAAAUGUUGGGUUAAGUCCCGCAACGAGCGCAACCCUUAUCCUUGUUUGCCAGCGAGUAAUGUCGGGAACUCCAGGGAGACUGCCGGUGAUAAACCGGAGGAAGGUGGGGACGACGUCAAGUCAUCAUGGCCCUUACGAGUAGGGCUACACACGUGCUACAAUGGCGCAUACAGAGGGCAGCGAACUUGCGAGAGUAAGCGAAUCCCAAAAAGUGCGUCGUAGUCCGGAUUGGAGUCUGCAACUCGACUCCAUGAAGUCGGAAUCGCUAGUAAUCGUGAAUCAGAAUGUCACGGUGAAUACGUUCCCGGGCCUUGUACACACCGCCCGUCACGCCAUGGGAGUGGGCUGCAAAAGAAGCAGGUAGUUUAACCUUCGGGAGGACGAGUUGCCACUUUGUGGUUCAUGACUGGGGUGAAGU